rnacentral:rRNA from 1 species
AACGCUGGCGGCGUGCCUAAUACAUGCACCUUUAACGCACUGACGUCGACAGAAGGUGCUUGCACUGGAAGUUGAUUGACGUGAGUGGCGGACGGGUGAGUAACACGUGGGUAACCUGCCCUUAAGCGGGGGAUAACAUUUGGAAACAGAUGCUAAUACCGCAUAAAAGUUGAGAUCACAUGGUCUUAAUUUGAAAGACGGCCUUUGGCUGUCACUUAAGGAUGGACCCGCGGCGUAUUAGCUAGUUGGUGAGAUAAUAGCCCACCAAGGCGAUGAUACGUAGCCGACCUGAGAGGGUAAUCGGCCACAUUGGGACUGAGACACGGCCCAAACUCCUACGGGAGGCAGCAGUAGGGAAUCAUCCACAAUGGACGAAAGUCUGAUGGAGCAACGCCGCGUGAGUGAAGAAGGUUUUCGGAUCGUAAAACUCUGUUGUUGGAGAAGAACAGGGACUAGAGUAACUGUUAGUCCUUUGACGGUAUCCAACCAGAAAGCCACGGCUAACUACGUGCCAGCAGCCGCGGUAAUACGUAGGUGGCAAGCGUUGUCCGGAUUUAUUGGGCGUAAAGCGAGCGCAGGCGGUUUCUUAAGUCUGAUGUGAAAGCCUUCGGCUUAACCGAAGAAGUGCAUCAGAUACUGGGAAACUUGAGUGCAGAAGAGGAAAGUGGAACUCCAUGUGUAGCGGUGAAAUGCGUAGAUAUAUGGAAGAACACCAGUGGCGAAGGCGGCUUUCUGGUCUGUAACUGACGCUGAGGCUCGAAAGUAUGGGGAGCGAACAGGAUUAGAUACCCUGGUAGUCCAUACCGUAAACGAUGAAUGCUAAGUGUUGGAGGGUUUCCGCCCUUCAGUGCUGCAGCUAACGCAUUAAGCAUUCCGCCUGGGGAGUACGACCGCAAGGUUGAAACUCAAAGGAAUUGACGGGGGCCCGCACAAGCGGUGGAGCAUGUGGUUUAAUUCGAAGCUACGCGAAGAACCUUACCAGGUCUUGACAUCUAGCGCCAAUCCUAGAGAUAGGACGUUCCCUUCGGGGACGCUAAGACAGGUGGUGCAUGGUUGUCAUCAGCUCGUGUCGUGAGAUGUUGGGUUAAGUCCCGCAACGAGCGCAACCCUUAUGAUUAGUUGCCAGCAUUUAAUUGGGCACUCUAAUCAGACUGCCGGUGACAAAC